ACCCUAGGGCACUACACUGUGUUAAUCCGGGCCUGCGCGUCAAACGCCCAAAACGCUCAAUUCGCGCCGCCUCAUUCGCGCGAACCGCGCCGCAAGAUGUCUAUUCGCGUCUUUGCAUUGACUUAACAUGUAAAUCACUCGCGCUUAACGCUUCAUUCGCGUCUGGUGUGAACGCACCUUUAGGCGCGGUCUCUUUAGGAAAACAGCAGGGCCGGAGUGGGAUCAAUUUUCAGCCCGGGAGUGUAAUGCUCAAGACCAGCCCACCACCAUUUGCAUAACUGUAAAUGUUGCUAAUGUACCUUGAGUCGCCAGGUCACGUGUGCUCGUUUGUCUUCUUGAAAAAAUAUUUUGUCAGUUUGGCACAUUUGGCCGUGUCAUCCUCCAAUGCCUUUCUUUUUUUUAACCUGGCUUUUUUUUACUAUCCAUUUCAUUCUUCCCGCAAUUAGCGCACUAGCAUUAAUGGUUUCGGGUUGUCUCCAUGGCAACGACCUGGGACAAGCGCGAGCGCGCGCGCUCUGACAACAGAAAACGUCACAUUUUACUGUUAAAUUCAAAUAUAGUAAUAUUAGCUUAGUUAUCAGCCACAAAAUAACUUAUACACAUUGACGUUAUUCUGUGUAUGUAAAAAAAAAAAUUUUUUUUAAUUAAAAUAAAAUAAAAAGCUCGGCCCAAUUUAUGAGCGGGGCAGAGCGGCCCACCGGGAAUUCGCCCGGUUCUCCCGAUGGCCACUCCGGGCCUGGAAAACAGUAUGUAAUUUUUUAAUAUAAAAAACCGAUGAGCUGUAUCCAGUGCACGAUAAUGUUAGGUAAUUAAAUUUUAAUGAGUUAAAUUCUAUUUUGUUUGCUAUAAUUCAUUCGAUUCGUCUUUUUCAACGAGUGAUUGCUAUUGAAUCAAAGGAGUCGGACUGCGCUGGUGGCGCCAUCAACAUCUAUAUGUGUGACUCUGUCUGUUUCGAUUCUUUUAACCAUUCAAAUGAGUCAUUUGUUUGUGAAUCAAACUGAGCACGCUGUUGUAGCAUUACACCUGCUAAGACAAUUCAAUAUGUGCAAUCUGAAUUUAAUAAUAAUAUUUAUUUUGUGGUAACACUGCCGUGUGGGAAGCUCUGACAGAGAAAAACACUAUAGAUAUGUAAGAGAGAGCUGUAAAAUAAAUUCUGAGCUGCUGCAUGAACAUUCAUCAAACAUAUAAGGCUGCAAUUUGGUAAAAAACUUUCAAGCUAAUGCUGCUGCAAUGGAGUUCAAGGGGACUAUGAAGAGGUGGCUCCAGCUGAUCAAAAGGGUGGACUUCAGGAGGCAGACACACACUGUUACAGUAAUCAGCUGAUCCAGUCGGUAUCCAGACCAGACGGUGGACCUGCACCCAAGAACGACCACAACACAUCCCUGACUGUCAGCGGAGACCAUGUCAGCUAGAUGACAGAUCCCUGUGAAGACCUCAUUGAUGACCCCAGCACAGAUGAUGUUUCUUCAAGCAGAAGAAGUUGGAUGAAAUAUUCUGAAUGAUAUAUUCUGAAUGAUAUCAAUCCGCAAUCUGACUUGUGAUGCAGCCUGGAAUAAUCACACCACGUUCAUUCGUUUGGCCAGAGGAGAACUGGUUUCCUGACUGAACCGGGUCUUGUUUGGAUUUGGGUUCCUUGUCACUGUAGCCUUUUGUCUUGCUUGGUUGAAGACACCUAAUAUUCAGCAAUAUUGUUGACUUGACUGCACUGACACCAUUUGAUAAGAACUGAACUGACAGUGUGAACGUAGCCAAACAUAAAAUAAUAAAAGCAGAGAAAUAUUUGUAUUAUAUUUGAAAUAUUUCAAGGUUCUAAUUUUGGAUUUAUGGACUUAUCUUUACACCUUAUAUUUCUUUAUUAUUAUGGCAUUUAUUUACACACUUGUUUAUCUACAUAUUACAUGUUUUUAUAGUUAAAUGUUAAAAUUAACAUUACUCAUUUUUGAAUAUUGCAAACCUAUUAAUUUUUCUCUAUAAAAACCUCUGGCGUUAUCCUCUUGGCAGCGAACCACAUGAUCAUGAUGAGGAAGGUUUUGUUAUCUUUGGUAUCUAUAAUUAAUGCUGCCUUCACGGCCUCUCAAGUUGUAUUUACUAGGUCCCAGAUAGCAAAAUUUGUCUGGCCAGAAACUGCUAAAUGUAAUUCAUCAAGUGAAAUACAAAUACAACCAUUUCAAAACAUUAAAAAGGCUUUAAUUAUAAAAUUACCAAAUACUUUAAUAUAAAUAUGUAAGAUGUAAGUUUGGUUAUAGAAUGCGGUUGUCAUAUCCGUAAAUAACUGUGUGUGAACAUAACUGUAUUAAGGACUCAAAUACAGGACUGACAACUGUAGGUCGCCGUGAUUUUGCCAAGUAAGACAUGUUCCUGGAUCAACAUCUUUUGUUGAUCCUGGAUCAACAUUAUUGUCCAAAAAUAUAGACUUAACUCAAUCCCUCACCCCUAAACCUAACCCUACCCAUAAUUUAUUCCUAAAAUCAGUGUGAAAUGAUAACUGAUUAACAAGGGUGUCAAAGCACCUAAACCUGAACAUAAGCCUAAAGCAGAUAUUUCCUGAAAAGUUGUUCCUCAAUUCUGAUUGGUUGGAAUUAUGAUCCAGGAACAUGUACUUGGUGAAAUCACCCUCACCGACAACCGUAUUCUGCUACUGUGGCCUUUUUAUGUAUGGAGGAUUGCUCACGUCGCUCAGCAAUUUACAGCUGCUGUUGACGGCCAGCAGUAACGUUUGACCUUUUUGAAAGUUAGCGGUGUUCAACAUGUGAUGUUCUCAUGUGGUGUUCAACUCAGAUCUGUCCACUUCCUUGGACUCGAAGGUAGCGCCUUAGCAACGCAGAAAUGACACCGGUUUCAUACCACAAGUGUGAGCAGCAUGUAUUUUUCCCGGCGUGCAUGUUAACAAAUGAGUGCAUUCUCACUGGGAGCGGGAGCAGCGCGUGAGCGCCAAGCUCAAUUAAAGUGACAACACACUUUUGAUGGACAUAAUAAAAAUGAUUUCACACAAAAAGUGGUAAAAUGCACAGAAUAAGCAUGUCUAGCGUGUUAUAACAAGGAUUGGAGUACGGCAGAAAAAAAAGAAUCAAAAAUAUUUUAAUUAUUCAGUUUGGGUUAAAGUACGACGGCGUUUUAGUGCCUCGUUAAAAAAAAAAAAUCUAAGAUUACGAGAUUAAAGUAGUAAUAUUUCGAGAAUAAAGUCGAAACUACGAGAAUAAAGUAGAAAUGUUUCGAGAAUAAAGUCGAAAUAUAUCAAGAAUAAAGUCGAAACACUACGAGAAUAAAGUCGAAAUAUUACGAGAAUAAAGUCGAAAUGUUUUGAGAAUAAAGAUUAUAGUUAUAAUAUUUUGAGAUAGGCUAUUCUAGGCUUUUGCUCAUGCAAAUGGCCCGGAUUGGAAGCACCGGGAGAUAUUCCAAAUCUCAGUUUUCAAAAUCGGUCAGUUUUAUAGCGAAAUACAAACAAUAUGUAGGCUAUAUUGCAAUAAUGUGCUUGUUAAGCGGCAUGUGAGUCAAUCAUCUUUCCGAUUACAAUAACGAACCACGAGACAUUUUCAUUAUAAAUUAGGCUAAACUGUUUUUUAUGCGUUUCUUCAAUUUAUAUCUUGCUAUAAACUUGAAAUAAAGAGCAAAACACAUUUAUAAUUUGUAUUUCGUUAUAAAACUGGCAGAAUUUGAAAGCUGAACUGUGUAAAAGCAACAAAGCACAAAAUUGUCGUGAUUACUGGUUGGCUGGCGCGCUACAAAUAAUGAAUGGAAGACGUUAAAUAUUAUGUCCUCAUUUACAGUAUACCAUUAAUAAAAUAGUUUGUGAAUAGUCACUUAACGUUUACAGCAGAAAAGGCAACAAUAUAACAUGUUAACAAAUUUGAGUCCAAUGAAUGGAAUAGAAGACAUGAAAUAUUAUUUCCAAGCAUACUGUCCCCGCGAGUAUGACACAUGGUAUGAUUUCUGCUAAUAAUCCCACAUAUAUUUGCAGUGUAUUAAAAAAGGGUUAAAUAAGAGAGCUACAGCGCCCCCCAAAGGAAUGUCGAUUGAGUGUGUGAGCUGAUGUUAAGAUAAACAGUUGUUCCUGUACAGUCUGUUAAUAAAUAUCAUAUUCUUGAUAUUGAGCUGUUUCCGCGAGUCCUUAAAAUUGACAUCCCAGUAAGAUGAUGCGGUCGCUCGGAUGCAACAAUAUUCAAAUCAAGGUCUGGCAACUUCUCCCGGUGCUCUCAAUGCGGGCCAUUUGCAUGCGCAAUAUAGGCUAUACUCUCAAAAUAUUAUAACUUUAAUUUCUACGAUUUAAAUUAUCGAAACAUUUCGACUUUAUUCUCGAAACGUUUCGACUUUAUUUUCGUAAUAUUUCGACUUCAUUCUCGAAACAUUUCGACUUUAUUCUCAUAAUCUUACGACUUUAAUCUCGUAAUCUUAGAUUUUUUUUUUUUUUAACGAGGCACUAAAACGCCGUAGUAAAGUAUUGUGUAAUAUUUAAAAAAAAAAAAGUAUUUAUAUGCGAGUACCCGCGUUAACAUGCAAAUCCCCAUGUUAACAAACUUUCAAGACUUUAAAACUUUAAAGUCUUUGUAAAGAAAUAUGUGGCUUUGGAGCCGCUGCUGUGAUGCUGUACAAACGCUUCCAGUGUGAAUACUCUCACGAGUCUGCAGCUGCAGUUAAUGAAGCUGCCUCAAAGCUCACGCUUGCGGUGCGAAACAGGCGUGAUUAUUGCGGCUGUAAAGGUGGUGCUGCCUUUUCAUAUAAACUGGAAUAAAUACAAAAUUAGAGCCUAACUAAGACUGAAAUGAGACAUUAGUAAUAAAUAGUUUAGUGAAUAAAAUGAAAUAAUCAUAAAGGACAUUUCGAAAUAAGGUGCAUUAAGUCAAUAAAUCCUUUAUUAAUAUAAAUAUUUUAAUUAAAAACGUUUCUCCACGUAUUCAAUAAAAUUCUAGUGCAUUUAAUCUAUUAAAUAACAGCCGGUUAUUAUGCGCCGGUUUCACCUUCUGAACUUUUCGGCACUUCCAAAAGGAGGCGAAGGCGCGCCCCACUGCCUUUAGGUCCUUCAUUCCAUGAAGGCCCAGUCUGAGCCCGAACAGCAAAGGGGUCCUGGCCCGUCUCAGUCUAAGGAUCAGAGACGAGCGCAAAAGACUAUUGUCGCUACACACACCCCUCCCCCGCCUCUGGGUAGGGUUCAAAGGAGGUGUGAAGUCGAAGGUUGCAGGCAAGAUCUGAGGGAGGUGAUCCAGACGAGGCAUUCUCAACGCUUUCAUCCGGACCAGAGUAAAACAUCUACUCACCUCCCUCUGAGAGUAUUAACAUAUGCCAUCAUCUUCCUCCGCUUAAGGGCUUUCAUGCAUCCUCAAGGACCCGCAGGUCCUCCAUUCAGGUUGAGCAUUUUUGGAGAGUAAUGCUUUGUAACGUGCUCCCUGACGUCCCGGCUGGAUGUUUGCUUCGAGAAGCUGCCCCGGCCAGAACAUGCUACUCAUGCCUCGCCCCGAGGGGCCUUCUGAGACCAUCAUGUACAUUCUCUGAGUUAGAGCUCCUCUCGCUGAGGCGUUGAAUGGCUUCACUCCUUAACUCCUCUCUGCAGUUUUGAUAGGUGGUCAGGCCCACUUGGACCUCCCUUUUACACUACCCUUAUGGUCGAACCAUCUCCCCUCCGUGGAGUGGGCUUGAGUACACUGCUUUCCCUGAGUUACAAGUGAGAUGUGUUUCUGCGGAGACCCUUCCUGAAUGCAUGAAUGGGUUAUUGGGUACCGUUGUUUCUACAGGUUCUUUUGAGUCUGGUUAAACGGGACCCACACUCUCUAUCAAGACAGAGAGCAUAGGACUACGUUCGGCUGUAACAGUGGAUGGUCUCUUAUCGGACCCUGCUAGACUGCCCCCUCUAGUCUAGUGCUGCCUUGUGGUUGAGUUAGGAAGUGCUCCACUCACUGCGAGGGCUAGCUAUGAGCCUAUCGCUCCCACAAUCUUAAAAAUAAAGGUGCUUCAUGAUGCCAUAGAAGAACCUUUUUGUCUAAAUGGUUCCAUAAAGAACCUUUAACAUCUGAAGAACCUUUCUGUUUCACAAAAGGUUCUUUGUGGUGAAAGAAGGCUCUUUAGCUUAUAAAAAGGUAAGGAAGAGAUGGUUCUUAAAGAACCUUCUACUGAAUGGUUCAACUUCUUUGUGGAACCAAAAAUGGUUCUUCUAUGGCAUCGCUUGAAGAACCUUUUGAAGCACCUUUAUUUUUAAGAGUGCAGCUUGAGCUAUGAGGGUCCACCUCAGCCUGAGAGCCGAAAGCGCCUCUCCCAAGAUCUCCAUAUGCAACCAUACCGAGUCAUUAGGCCCGUCACUGUCGCCUCCUUGGUCAGUUGCCUCUUUGGUGGGACCCUGUUGCUCCCAGUUGGAAUGUGUGAUCCCCUUCUAAGCUGGAUCCCAUUUCUGAUGUCCCAUUUGCAGUCAAUCUGCCACAAAACCACUUCAGGGGGUCAGGCCUUUCUCUGCCCUCCCCCUUAGGCUGCUCUCAUGGUGAGCCUGUAGUGCUCCCCUCACUCUAGAGGGUCACCUAUGAGCACACUGCUCCCUCCUGAGCAUUUGGAGUUUCCCUCUCAUCCUGAGAGUUGAGUUCUCCGCUCCCCAGAGCUCCGUGAGUCAGCAACACCAGGUUUUUAGGCCUCUUUUUCUGCCUCCCUGAUAUGCUGUUCUUAUGGUUAAGCCUGUAGUGCUCCCCUCACUCUAGAGGGUUAUCUGUGAGCACACUGCUCCUAAGUUGAGUGUUUGUGUCCCCCUCUCGGUUUGAGAGUUGGGUGCUACACUACUUCAAGUUAUGUAUGAGCUCCAGAGCCUGUCCUGUGACUAUUAUGGUUGAGUUGGCGAUGCUCCCCUCAUAUGGAGGGUUUUUCUAUGAGGCACACCAUUUCCAAUCUGCAUGCGCUCUGAAUACACACGACUCCCGCUGAAUUAAGUAACUGCUGCCUUGAGCGUGCCAUAGUAACAUAGGGUUCCUAGGCCUGUCUAGAAACAGCCUCGAUGACCCCUUAGCAAUGGUGAUUCUAGAAAUAUAUGUUAUGGUAAGUGCACACGCUGAGCUUCUGUGCACUUUCUAAAAUCCACAUUGUGGUAAGUGUGCAAGCUAAGCAUCCUGCGCAUAUUUCUAAAAUCCUGUACGGUAUUGGUUACACGCUGCCAUCCUCGUAGCCUUUGUUGUGUAAUAUGCAUAAGAAUGCAAUUACCCUGCCUCAUUGUUUUAUGUAUUUAGUUAAUAUAAUAUGUCUAAUAGAUAAUAGAUAAGAUAUUAGAUAAUGUCUAAUAAUAUGUCUCUUUAAUGAGCCGAAAAGAACGCACGUCACACCUCUAAUUUGCACUGGCUACCAAUAGCUGCUCGCAUUAAAUUCAAGGCAUUAAUGUUUGCCUACAGAACCACCUCUGGCUCUGCACCCCUUUACCUAAAUUCAGUACUUCAGACCUAUGUGCCCUCUAGAAGCUUAUGUUCUGCAAGUGAACGACGCAUUAUUGUGCCAUCCCAAAGAGGCACAAAAUCACUUUCACUGACUUUUUCAUUAACUCUUCCCUCCUGGUGAAAUGACCUGCCCAUCUCAAUCCGAGCAGCUGAAUCCUUAGCCAUCUUCAAGAAACGGCUAAAAACACAUCUCUUCCAUCUUUAUUUGACCCUCUGACUCUAGCACUCUCUAUUCUAAUUUUAUUUUAUCUAUGUCUUCUUUUUAUUUAACAAAAAUAAAUAAAUAAAAAAACACAUUUGACCCUCUAUCAACUGCAUAUUUAUUCUCUAACUGCUAGCUUUUCUUGUAAAACUAACACUAGCUUUCUUUUUUCUAUUCUAUCUAUUUGUUUCUUAUAAAAACAAAAAUAAAAAAACACUAGGUUUCUUUUUUUUUAUAUUCUAUCUACUCGUUUUCUUUAUAAAAAAAGAAGAAAAAAAAGACCUUGCUACGUGUACUGCGUUAGGCUAACCAAGACUUGUAAUAGCACUUGCAUGUUGUUGCUCUUUUGUUGGUUUGAUUGCUUCUAAUGUCCUCAUUUGUAAGUCGCUUUGGAUAAAAGCAUCUGCUAAAUGUAAUCAUGUAUUAUUUUGUUUAUUUCCUGGAAAAGCCUCAUAUGGGCAAUUAUGUAACUACUUCAUGUCAUUGUUUUUGUUUUAUUUAGAAAGUGGUUUAUUAAGUAAAACACCACACGUUAUUGUUUUAAGCAUUUAUUGGGAAAAUGUUUAUAACAUGUAUUAGCAAGAGCAUAGUUAGAGAUGAGCUUUAAAGAAAAAGAAGCUGGGUAUUACAUCAUCUGGUGUGUUUCAGAUGAAGCGUUGAAGACAGCAGAGCAGAGAAAUCCCGAAGAAGAAAAAUGGGUAAAUGUGAGGCCUUUAUAAACAACUUCUUAAGGGAUUUCCAGUAUGAAGUCACAAGACAUUGGGAUCCACCUGCUGUCUAUAAGAGACUGAAGUGCAAUGAUGAAAUCAGAUGCUGCUUUGAGACCACCUGAAGAGCUCUCCGGCACCAGAACCAUUGCUGA